GAUCAGAACCGCCGCACGAGAUGUCGUACCCAACGACAGGAAUGCUACAAUAUGGCGUGACUCACGCGCAAGAGUCGGGCAUGCCGCGUCCACAUGUUCCAGCCAAAAAUCAAAUAAAUUCGAUCUNNNNNNNNNNNNCGAUGCUGCAAAUCGCGGCUUUCUUGACCGCGCAGGCAGUUUCAACGCUGGAACAGGUGCAAAAACGCCGGAAUAUGCUUCAGUUGAAGCAGCAAACGGGCUUCCGCUGCGGCCCGCAGAAGGGCCCGCGUGGAUUGACACAACAGGGUCCACCAAUAGAAUAACC
rnacentral:misc_RNA from 1 species